GACGAACGCUGGCGGCGUGCUUAACACAUGCAUGUCGAACGGAAAGGCCCUGCUUUUGUGGGGUGCUCGAGUGGCGAACGGGUGAGUAACACGUGAGUAACCUGCCCUUGACUUUGGGAUAACUUCAGGAAACUGGGGCUAAUACCGGAUAGGAGCUCCUGCUGCAUGGUGGGGGUUGGAAAGUUUCGGCAGUUGGGGAUGGACUCGCGGCUUAUCAGCUUGUUGGUGGGGUAGUGGCUUACCAAGGCUUUGACGGGUAGCCGGCCUGAGAGGGUGACCGGCCACAUUGGGACUGAGAUACGGCCCAGACUCCUACGGGAGGCAGCAGUGGGGAAUAUUGCACAAUGGGCGGAAGCCUGAUGCAGCAACGCCGCGUGCGGGAUGACGGCCUUCGGGUUGUAAACCGCUUUCGCCUGUGACGAAGCGUGAGUGACGGUAAUGGGUAAAGAAGCACCGGCUAACUACGUG
rnacentral:rRNA from 1 species